UGCCGCGUGCAGGAAGACUGCCCUAUGGGUUGUAAACUGCUUUUAUAUAGGAAGAACUUCAGAUACGUGUAUUUGAUUGACGGUACUAUACGAAUAAGGACCGGCUAACUCCGUGCCAGCAGCCGCGGUAAUACGGAGGGUCCGAGCGUUAUCCGGAUUUAUUGGGUUUAAAGGGUCCGUAGGCGGGCAAAUAAGUCAGUGGUGAAAUCCUACAGCUCAACUGUAGAACUGCCAUUGAAACUGUUAGUCUUGAAUAUAAUUGAAGUGGGCGGAAUGUGUCAUGUAGCGGUGAAAUGCUUAGAUAUGCCACAGAACACCGAUUGCGAAGGCAGCUCACUAAGUUAUUAUUGACGCUGAGGGACGAAAGCGUGGGUAGCGAACAGGAUUAGAUACCCUGGUAGUCCACGCCGUAAACGAUGUAUACUCGUUGCUGGCGAUACACAGUCAGUGACCAAGCGAAAGUAUUAAGUAUACCACCUGGGGAGUACGCUCGCAAGAGUGAAA
rnacentral:rRNA from 1 species